AUGCUGCCUGGAGACUUCAGACCAAUUUCACUCCUGAAUUGUUCAAUCAAAAUCAUCACCAAACUUCUUGCUAAUAGGUUGCAGACUGUUAUCCUUCAACUUGUCCACAUCAAUCAAUAUGAUUUCAUCAAAUCAAGGACAAUUCAAGACUGUUUGGCAUGGGCAUUUGAAUAUCUUCAUCAAUGCCAUCAAACAAAGGAGGAAAUUAUUGUUCUAAAAUUGAACUUUGAGAAAGCUUUUGAUCUGAUUGAACAUCAGACUAUUUUGGAUAUCCUUUAAGCCAAGGGGUUUGGAGAAAAAUGGAUAAAGUGGAUUGAUAUGAUUUUCAAAUCUGCCACAUUUGCUGUUUUGCUGAAUGGUAUUCCUGGGAAAGUUUUCCACUGCAAAAGAGGAGUGAGACAAGGUGACCCCCUCUCUCCACUCCUGUUUGUGCUAGCUGUAGAUCUACUUUAG
rnacentral:rRNA from 1 species